rnacentral:lncRNA from 1 species
UGGGAAUGUAAAUUAGUUCAGCCACCGUGGAAAGUAGUUUGGAGAUUUCUCAAAGAACUUAAAACAGAGCUACCAUUCAACCCAGCAAUCCCAUUACUGGGUAUAUACCCAAAGGAAUAUAAAUUACUCUACUGUAAAGACACAUGCACACAUGUUCAUCACAGCACUGUUUGCAAUAGCAAAGACACAGAAUCAACUACAUGCCCGUCAACAGUGGACUGAAUAAAGAAAAUGUGGUACAUAUAUACCAUGGAAUACUACACAGCCAUAAAAAAAAGAACAAAAUCAUGUCCUUUGCAGCAGCAUGGAUGGAGCUGGAAGCCAUUAAGCAAAUUAACAUAGAAACAGAAAACCAAAUACCACGUUUUCACUUAUAAAUAGGAACUAAACACUGAGUAUACAUGGACACAAGGAAGGGAACAAUAGACACCAGGGCCUACUUUAGUGUGGAAGGUAAGGAUCAAAAACUACCUAUUACAGCCAAGUGUGGUGGCUCACACUAUAAUUCCAUCACUUUAGGAGGCUGCAACGGGCAGAUCCCUUAAGGCCAGAAGUUUGAGACCACCCUGGCCAACACAGUGAAACCCCGUCUCUACUAAAAAUACAAAAAUUAAAUUAGCGGGCAUGGUGGAAUGUGCCUGUAGUCCCAGCUAUUUGGGAGGCUGAGGUGGGAGAGUUGCUUGAACCUGGGAGGCGGAGGUUGCAGUGAGUCAAGAUCGUGCCACUGCACUCCAGCCUGGGCAACAGAGCAAGACUCCGUCUCAAAAAAUAUAAAAUACAAAUACAAAAAUUAGCUGGGCAUGUUAGGGUGGCACACAUCUGUAGUCCCAGCUACUCGGGAGGCUGAGGUUGCAGCUGAGCCAAGAUUGUGCCACUGCACUCCAG